rnacentral:rRNA from 1 species
GAUGAACGCUGGCGGCGUGCUUAACACAUGCAAGUCGAACGAAGCACUUUAUUUGAUUUCCUUCGGGACUGAUUAUUUUGUGACUGAGUGGCGGACGGGUGAGUAACGCGUGGGUAACCUGCCUUGUACAGGGGGAUAACAGUUGGAAACGGCUGCUAAUACCGCAUAAGCGCACGGCAUCGCAUGAUGCAGUGUGAAAAACUCCGGUGGUAUAAGAUGGACCCGCGUUGGAUUAGCUAGUUGGUGGGGUAACGGCCCACCAAGGCGACGAUCCGUAGCCGACCUGAGAGGGUGACCGGCCACAUUGGGACUGAGACACGGCCCAAACUCCUACGGGAGGCAGCAGUGGGGAAUAUUGCACAAUGGGCGAAAGCCUGAUGCAGCGACGCCGCGUGAGCGAAGAAGUAUUUCGGUAUGUAAAGCUCUAUCAGCAGGGAAGA